rnacentral:lncRNA from 1 species
AAGAAGUGGCUGCAGCUGCAGGAAUUAAAGAAAACCCGCUUGAAUCUCCAGCAACAAGGACUGAAAAGCAAUGGACAAUUGGUUUAAAUAAAUUUUUUUUUUUUUGUCUGAAUUGGUUUAAAGAAUUAGGCGUGGGAAUGCACACCAGAAGCCAUGGGGUGUGAGGAAUUAAGAGCUUCAGCAAAGGACUUCAGCCUUGAUAAAUAGAGAGCAACGCAAAGGGAGAAAGACUGCAAUUCUUGGGCACCAAAUAAAGUAGGUAUAGACCAGUAGAGAAAAGACCCUGGGGAGCCGAGAGGCAAGGAUCCAGGGGCACUUUCCAUUUUAGUUUUUCUUCUUUUAGUUUUCAUGUUGUCAUUAGUUUUAUCUAGUUUGUAGAGGGAGGAAAAAUGGCAAUAUAAUUGGAGAGAACCUUGGGAGCCGUGAGGCAAGGAACUAAGG